AUAAUAAGUGUUUUAUGGCACUUUUUUAAAUCCAUAUCCACCUUGUGUGCAAUGUCAGUCGAUCUUCUUCAUGGAGAUCGACCAAACAUCAACCUUUAUCUUUUAACUCUUUGUCUGAAAAAUAUUAUGAAAUAAACAAUUCAAAAUA
rnacentral:misc_RNA from 1 species